rnacentral:rRNA from 1 species
GACGAACGCUGGCGGCGUGCCUAAUACAUGCAAGUAGAACGCAGUUGCGAACGGGUGAGUAACGCGUAGGUAACUGCCUCAUAGCGGGGGAUAACUAUUGGAAACGAUAGCUAAUACCGCAUAAUGUGAGAUGGACCUGCGUUGUAUUAGCUUGUUGUAGAGGUAAAGGCUCACCAAGGCGACGAUACCUACCCGACCUGGGAGGGUGAGCGGGCACACUGGGACUGAGACACGGCCCAGACGCCUACGGGAGGCAGCAGUAGGGAAUCUUCGGCAAUGGACGGAAGUCUGACCGAGCAACUCCGCGUGAGUGAAGAAGGUUUUCGGAUCGUAAAGCUCUGUUGUUAGAGAAGCGGUAACUAACGAGAAAGGGACGGCUAACUACGUGCCAGCAGCCGCGGUAAUUC